AACGAACGCUGGCGGCAGGCCUCAAACAUGCAAGUCUAGGGGUGUAACAAUACACACCGGCGGACGGGUGCGUAACGCGUGGGAACAUACCUUUCGGUACGGAACAACCCAGGGAAACUUGGGCUAAUACCGUAUACGUCCUAACGGAGAAAGAUUUAUCGCCGAAGGAUUGGCCCGCGUUCGAUUAGCUAGUUGGUGGGGUAAAAGCUCACCAAGGCUACGAUCGAUAGCUGUUCUGAGAGGAAGAUCAGCCACACUGGGACUGAGACACGGCCCAGACUCCUACGGGAGGCAGCAGUUGGGAAUCUUGGACAAUGGGGGAAACCCUGAUCCAGCCAUGCCGCGUGAGUGAUGAAGGCCUUCGGGUUGUAAAACUCUUUCGACGGGGACGAUAAUGACGGUACCCGUAGAAGAAGUUCCGGCUAACUUCGUG
rnacentral:rRNA from 1 species